rnacentral:rRNA from 1 species
GUGUCAGCCGCCGCGGUAAGACGGAGGGUGCUAGCGUUGUUCGGAAUUACUGGGCGUAAAGGGCGCGUAGGCGGCCCUGUCAGUCGGGUGUGAAAGCCCGGGGCUCAACCCCGGAACGGCACCCGAGACGGCAGGGCUGGAGACCGGGAGAGGAGGGUGGAAUAGCCAGUGUAGAGGUGAAAUUCGUAGAUAUUGGCUGGAACACCGGUGGCGAAAGCGGCUCUCUGGCCCGGUUCUGACGCUGAGGCGCGAAAGCGUGGGGAGCAAACAGGAUUAGAAACCCUUGUAGUCC